CCUACGGGAGGCAGCAGUGGGGAAUAUUGCACAAUGGGCGAAAGCCUGAUGCAGCAACGCCGCGUGAGCGAUGAAGGCCUUCGGGUCGUAAAGCUCUGUCCUCAAGGAAGAUAAUGACGGUACUUGAGGAGGAAGCCCCGGCUAACUACGUGCCAGCAGCCGCGGUAAUACGUAGGGGGCUAGCGUUAUCCGGAAUUACUGGGCGUAAAGGGUGCGUAGGUGGUUGCUUAAGUCAGAGGUGAAAGGCUAGGGCUCAACCGUAGUAAGCCUUUGAAACUGGGGAACUUGAGUGCAGGAGAGGAGAGUGGAAUUCCUAGUGUAGCGGUGAAAUGCGUAGAUAUUAGGAGGAACACCAGUUGCGAAGGCGGCUCUCUGGACUGUAACUGACACUGAGGCACGAAAGCGUGGGGAGCAAACAGGAUUAGAUACCCGGGUAGUC
rnacentral:rRNA from 1 species